rnacentral:rRNA from 1 species
GGUUAAGCGACUAAGCGUACACGGUGGAUGCCCUGGCAGUCAGAGGCGAUGAAGGACGUGCUAAUCUGCGAAAAGCGCCGGCGAGGUGAUAUGAACCCUUGACCCGGCGAUGUCCGAAUGGGGAAACCCAGUGCAAUCCGUUGCACUAUCGUUAACUGAAUACAUAGGUUAACGAGGCGAACCGGGGGAACUGAAACAUCUAAGUACCCCGAGGAAAAGAAAUCAACCGAGAUUCCCCCAGUAGCGGCGAGCGAACGGGGAGCAGCCCGGAGUCUGAAUCAGCUUGUGUGUUAGUGGAACGGUCUGGAAAGUCCGACGGUACAGGGUGAUAGUCCCGUACACGAAAGCACACAUGCUGUGAACUCGAAGAGUAGGGCGGGACACGUGGUAUCCUGUCUGAAUAUGGGGGGACCAUCCUCCAAGGCUAAAUACUCCUGACUGACCGAUAGUGAACCAGUACCGUGAGGGAAAGGCGAAAAGAACCCCGGCGAGGGGAGUGAAAAAGAACCUGAAACCGUGUACGUACAAGCAGUGGGAGCCUCUUUAUGGGGUGACUGCGUACCUUUUGUAUAAUGGGUCAGCGACUUAUAUUCUGUAGCAAGGUUAACCGUAUAGGGGAGCCGAAGGGAAACCGAGUCUUAACUGGGCGUUAAGUUGCAGGGUAUAGACCCGAAACCCGGUGAUCUAGCCAUGGGCAGGUUGAAGGUUGGGUAACACUAACUGGAGGACCGAACCGACUAAUGUUGAAAAAUUAGCGGAUGACCUGUGGCUGGGGGUGAAAGGCCAAUCAAACCGGGAGAUAGCUGGUUCUCCCCGAAAGCUAUUUAGGUAGCGCCUCGUGAACUCAUCUUCGGGGGUAGAGCACUGUUUCGGCUAGGGGGCCAUCCCGGCUUACCAACCCGAUGCAAACUACGAAUACCGAAGAAUGUUAUCACGGGAGACACACGGCGGGUGCUAACGUCCGUCGUGAAGAGGGAAACAACCCAGACCGCCAGCUAAGGUCCCAAAGUCAUGGUUAAGUGGGAAACGAUGUGGGAAGGCACAGACAGCCAGGAUGUUGGCUUAGAAGCAGCCAUCAUUUAAAGAAAGCGUAAUAGCUCACUGGUCGAGUCGGCCUGCGCGGAAGAUGUAACGGGGCUAAACCAUGCACCGAAGCUGCGGCAGCGACACUAUGUGUUGUUGGGUAGGGGAGCGUUCUGUAAGCCGUUGAAGGUGUGCUGUGAGGCAUGCUGGAGGUAUCAGAAGUGCGAAUGCUGACAUAAGUAACGAUAAAGCGGGUGAAAAGCCCGCUCGCCGGAAGACCAAGGGUUCCUGUCCAACGUUAAUCGGGGCAGGGUGAGUCGACCCCUAAGGCGAGGCCGAAAGGCGUAGUCGAUGGGAAACAGGUUAAUAUUCCUGUACUUGGUGUUACUGCGAAGGGGGGACGGAGAAGGCUAUGUCAGCCGGGCGACGGUUGUCCCGGUUUAAGCAUGUAGGCGGAGGUUCCAGGUAAAUCCGGUACCUUUUAACGCUGAGGUGUGAUGACGAGGCACUACGGUGCUGAAGUGAUAAAUGCCCUGCUUCCAGGAAAAGCCUCUAAGCAUCAGGUAACACGAAAUCGUACCCCAAACCGACACAGGUGGUCAGGUAGAGAAUACCAAGGCGCUUGAGAGAACUCGGGUGAAGGAACUAGGCAAAAUGGUGCCGUAACUUCGGGAGAAGGCACGCUGAUGUGUAGGUGAAGCCCCUGCGGGCGGAGCUGAAAUCAGUCGAAGAUACCAGCUGGCUGCAACUGUUUAUUAAAAACACAGCACUGUGCAAACACGAAAGUGGACGUAUACGGUGUGACGCCUGCCCGGUGCCGGAAGGUUAAUUGAUGGGGUUAGCGGCAACGCGAAGCUCUUGAUCGAAGCCCCGGUAAACGGCGGCCGUAACUAUAACGGUCCUAAGGUAGCGAAAUUCCUUGUCGGGUAAGUUCCGACCUGCACGAAUGGCGUAAUGAUGGCCAGGCUGUCUCCACCCGAGACUCAGUGAAAUUGAACUCGCUGUGAAGAUGCAGUGUACCCGCGGCAAGACGGAAAGACCCCGUGAACCUUUACUAUAGCUUGACACUGAACACUGGUCCUUGAUGUGUAGGAUAGGUGGGAGGCUUUGAAGCGUGGACGCCAGUCUGCGUGGAGCCAACCUUGAAAUACCACCCUUUAAUGGCUGGUGUUCUAACGUGGACCCGUAAUCCGGGUUGCGGACAGUGUCUGGUGGGUAGUUUGACUGGGGCGGUCUCCUCCCAAAGAGUAACGGAGGAGCACGAAGGUUGGCUAAUCCUGGUCGGACAUCAGGAGGUUAGUGCAAUGGCAUAAGCCAGCUUGACUGCGAGCGUGACGGCGCGAGCAGGUGCGAAAGCAGGUCAUAGUGAUCCGGUGGUUCUGAAUGGAAGGGCCAUCGCUCAACGGAUAAAAGGUACUCCGGGGAUAACAGGCUGAUACCGCCCAAGAGUUCAUAUCGACGGCGGUGUUUGGCACCUCGAUGUCGGCUCAUCACAUCCUGGGGCUGAAGUAGGUCCCAAGGGUAUGGCUGUUCGCCAUUUAAAGUGGUACGCGAGCUGGGUUUAGAACGUCGUGAGACAGUUCGGUCCCUAUCUGCCGUGGGCGCUGGAGAAUUGAGGGGGGCUGCUCCUAGUACGAGAGGACCGGAGUGGACGCAUCACUGGUGUUCGGGUUGUCAUGCCAAUGGCACUGCCCGGUAGCUAAAUGCGGAAGAGAUAAGUGCUGAAAGCAUCUAAGCACGAAACUUGCCCCGAGAUGAGUUCUCCCUGAGACUUUAAGUCUCCUGAAGGAACGUUGAAGACGACGACGUUGAUAGGUCGGGUGUGUAAGCGCAGCGAUGCGUUGAGCUAACCGAUACUAAUGAACCGUGAGGCUUAACCUU